AUUGAACGCUGGCGGCAUGCUUUACACAUGCAAGUCGAACGGUAACAGGGUGCUUGCACCGCUGACGAGUGGCGAACGGGUGAGUAAUGCGUCGGAACGUGCCGAGUAGUGGGGGAUAACGCAUCGAAAGGUGUGCUAAUACCGCAUACGUACUGAGGUAGAAAGUGGGGGACCUUCGGGCCUCACGCUAUUCGAGCGGCCGACGUCUGAUUAGCUAGUUGGUGAGGUAAAGGCUCACCAAGGCGACGAUCAGUAGCGGGUCUGAGAGGAUGAUCCGCCACACUGGGACUGAGACACGGCCCAGACUCCUACGGGAGGCAGCAGUGGGGAAUUUUGGACAAUGGGCGCAAGACUGAUCCAGCCAUGCCGCGUGUCUGAAGAAGGCCUUCGGGUUGUAAAGGACUUUUGUCCGGGAGCAAAUACCCAGUGCUAAUAACACUGGGGGCUGAGAGUACCGGAAGAAUAAGCACCGGCUAACUACGUGCCAGCCGCCGCAGUAAAAC
rnacentral:rRNA from 1 species